rnacentral:rRNA from 1 species
AGGGUGCAAGCGUUAUCCGGAUUUAUUGGGUUUAAAGGGUCCGUAGGCGGAUCUGUAAGUCAGUGGUGAAAUCUCACAGCUUAACUGUGAAACUGCCAUUGAUACUGCAGGUCUUGAGUGUUAUUGAAGUAGCUGGAAUAAGUAGUGUAGCGGUGAAAUGCAUAGAUAUUACUUAGAACACCAAUUGCGAAGGCAGGUUACUAAGCAACAACUGACGCUGAUGGACGAAAGCGUGGGGAGCGAACAGG